rnacentral:rRNA from 1 species
UACGUAGGCAGCGAGCGUUGUUCGGAAUUACUGGGCGUAAAGAGUGUGUAGGCGGUGCUCUAAGUUUGGUGUGAAAUCUCCCGGCUCAACUGGGAGGGUGCAUCGAAAACUGUAGUGCUCGAGGGUGGGAGAGGUAAGCGGAAUUCCCGGUGUAGCGGUGAAAUGCGCAGAUAUCAGGAAGAACGCCCGUGGCGAAGGCGGCUCUCUGGGACGGUACUGACGCUGAGACGCGAAAGCGUGGGGAGCGAACAGG